GUUGAACGCUGGCGGCGUGCCUAAUACAUGCAAGUCGAGCGAACGGACGAGAAUCUUUCUUCUCUGAUGUUAGCGGCGGAUGGGUGAUUAACACGUGGAUAACCUACCUAUAAGACUGGGAUAACUUCGGGAAACCGGAUCUAAUAUCGGUUAAUAUUUUGAACCUCAUGGUUCUAAAGUCAAAGCCGUUCUUGCUGUCACUUAUUGAUGUAUCCGCGCUGCAUUAGCUAGUGGGUAAGGUAACGGCUUACCAAGGCAACGAUGCAUAGCCGACCUGUGAGGGUGACAGGCCACACUGGAACUAGGACACGGUCCAAACGCCAACGGGAGGAAGCAGUAGGAAUACUGCAGCAAGGGGCGAAGGCCUAACGAAGCAACGCGGGGGGGGUGAUGAGGGUCUUCGAAUGGUAAAAAUCUGUUAUUAGGAAAGAAGAUAGGUAUAAGUAACUGUGCACAUCUUGAGGGUACAUAAGAAGAAAGCCACGGCUAACUAGGU
rnacentral:rRNA from 1 species